GGCUCAUUAAAUCAGUUAUCGUUUAUUUGAUAGUACCUUACUACAUGGAUACCUGUGGUAAUUCUAGAGCUAAUACAUGCUAAAAACCUCGACUUCGGAAGGGGUGUAUUUAUUAGAUAAAAAACCAAUGCCCUUCGGGGCUCCUUGGUGAAUCAUAAUAACUUAGCGAAUCGCAUGGCCUUGCGCCGGCGAUGGUUCAUUCAAAUUUCUGCCCUAUCAACUUUCGAUGGUAGGAUAGUGGCCUACCAUGGUGGCAACGGGUAACGGGGAAU
rnacentral:rRNA from 1 species